GCAAGUCGAGCGGUAACAGAAAGUAGCUGGUGCUUUGCUGAAGAGCGGCGGACGGGUGAGUAAUGCUUGGGAACAUGCCUUGAGGUGGGGGACAACAGUUGGAAACGACUGCUAAUACCGCAUAAUGUCUACGGACCAAAGGGGGCUUCGGCUCUCGCGUAUAGAUUGGCCCAAGUGGGAUUAGCUAGUUGGUGAGGUAAUGGCUCACCAAGGCGACGAUCCCUAGCUGGUUUGAGAGGAUGAUC
rnacentral:rRNA from 1 species